UACGAAGGGGGCUAGCGUUGUUCGGAGUUACUGGGCGUAAAGGGCUCGUAGGUGGCCAACUAAGUCAGACGUGAAAUCCCCCGGCUUAACCUGGGAACUGCGUCUGAUACUGGGAGGCUUGAGUAUGGGAGAGGGAUGUAGAAUUCCAGGUGUAGCGGUGAAAUGCGUAGAUAUCUGGAGGAAUACCGGUGGCGAAGGCGGCAUCCUGGACCAUAACUGACGCUGAUGCGCGAAAGCGUGGGGAGCAAACAGG
rnacentral:rRNA from 1 species